AGCAGCCUGUGCUGACACAGGGCUGGCUCACCUGCUCAUAGUUAAUGCCAAGUGCUCCCUCCAUUAACCUUCUCCCCAGGACUCACAGCCCCAAGCCUGAGCAACUGCAUACGGUUCUGCCCUGGCUGUAUGUGAUCUCCGGAAGUCCUAGAGUAUAUAGGAGAGGAAAGAUUGACUGACAGAGAGAUUCCAUCUAUCCAGCUAUGGAGAGGCAAUCGCUUGUGCCAGGGCCUGUCCAGAUGAACCCAAGUGAAAGAUUGCCAGCAAAAUACUUACAAACACAGGCAUUGCAAACCUUAG